CCAAUAGCGCAUAUUAAAGUUGUUGCAGUUAAAAAGCUCGUAGUUGAAUUUCGGGAUCAAUGGGUUGGUCAUGCCCUCGGUAUGUACUGAUUUCAUUGGUUCUCACCUUCUAAGGAACCAUGAUGUCAUUUAUUUGAUGUUGUGGGAAAUUAGGACUGUUACCUUGAAAAAAUUAGAGUGUUUAAAGCAGGCUAACGCUUGAAUACAUUAGCAUGGAAUAAUGAAAUAGGACAUCCGAUUCUAUUUUGUUGGUUUCUAGGAUCGAUGUAAUGAUUAAUAGGGAUAGUUGGGGGCAUUAGUAUUCAAUUGUCAGAGGUGAAAUUCUUGGAUUUAUUGAAGACUAACUACUGCGAAAGCAUUUGCCAAGGAUGUUUUCAUUAAUCAAGAACGAAAGUUAGGGGAUCGAAGACGAUCAGAUACCGUCGUAGUCUUAACCAUAAACUAUGCCGACUAGGGAUCGGAUGAUGCUUAUUUUUUAAUGACUCAUUCGGCACCUUACG
rnacentral:rRNA from 1 species